GGAAUUCGAUUAGAGUUUGAUCAUGGCUCAGAACGAACGCUGGCGGCAUGCCUAACACAUGCAAGUCGAACGAGAUCUUCGGGUCUAGUGGCGCACGGGUGCGUAACGCGUGGGAAUCUGCCCUCAGGUUCGGAAUAACCAUUGGAAACGAUGGCUAAUACCGGAUGAUGACGUUAAGUCCAAAGAUUUAUCGCCUGAGGAUGAGCCCGCGUAGGAUUAGCUAGUUGGUGUGGUAAGGGCGCACCAAGGCGACGAUCCUUAGCUGGUCUGAGAGGAUGAUCAGCCACACUGGGACUGAGACACGGCCCAGACUCCUACGGGAGGCAGCAGUGGGGAAUAUUGGACAAUGGGCGCAAGCCUGAUCCAGCAAUGCCGCGUGAGUGAUGAAGGCCUUAGGGUUGUAAAGCUCUUUUACCCGGGAUGAUAAUGACAGUACCGGGAGAAUAAGCUCCGGCUAACUCCGUGCCAGCAGCCGCGGUAAUACGAAUCACUAGUGAAUUCGCGGCCGCCUGCAGGUCGACCAUAUGGGAGAGCUCCCA
rnacentral:rRNA from 1 species